UACGAAGGGGGCUAGCGUUGCUCGGAAUUACUGGGCGUAAAGGGAGCGUAGGCGGAUAGUUUAGUCAGAGGUGAAAGCCCAGGGCUCAACCCUGGAAUUGCCUUUGAUACUGGCUAUCUUGAGUGUGGGAGAGGUUAGCGGAACUCCGAGUGUAGAGGUGAAAUUCGUAGAUAUUCGGAAGAACACCAGUGGCGAAGGCGGCUAACUGGCCCAUUACUGACGCUGAUGCACGAAAGCUAGGGGAGCAAACAGG
rnacentral:rRNA from 1 species